AUGCCUACCUGGCAGGUGAGACACAAUGAUCAGACAGGUGGUUUUCCCAGGAAUUCCCUGCACUCCUAGUGUGCUGAACCCUGCAAUUUCCCCAAACAUGGGAAACACAACUGUGUAAUUUGUCACAAUGGGGCUGUGUAUGCACUCUUCUCUG
rnacentral:snRNA from 1 species